CCUACGGGAGGCAGCAGUGAGGAAUAUUGGUCAAUGGGCGAGAGCCUGAACCAGCCAAGUCGCGUGAGGGAAGACGGUCCUAUGGGUUGUAAACCUCUUUAGGCGGGGAGCAAUGCCGUGCACGUGUGCCCGGAGGGAGAGUACCCGCAGAAUAAGCAUCGGCUAACUCCGUGCCAGCAGCCGCGGUAAUACGGAGGAUGCGAGCGUUAUCCGGAUUUAUUGGGUUUAAAGGGUGCGUAGGCGGAUUAUUAAGUCAGCGGUAAAAAGUCCGGGCUCAACCCGGGCCGGCCGUUGAAACUGGUGUUCUUGAGUGGGCGAGAAGUAUGCGGAAUGCGUGGUGUAGCGGUGAAAUGCAUAGAUAUCACGCAGAACUCCGAUUGCGAAGGCAGCAUACCGGCGCCCGACUGACGCUGAAGCACGAAAGCGUGGGGAUCGAACAGGAUUAGAUACCCCUGUAGUC
rnacentral:rRNA from 1 species